CUUCAGAAAAUUCUGGAAAUAAAACAUGCUCAUGUAUUAAAUAAGGGUAAAUGCCUGUAUUCCACAGAAAAGGAAAUGACGGCCAUAGGUCGUCAACAAGCGCAUAUGGCGCUUGAUUUAAAUAGUCAUAGAUAGCCGUAUUUGAUGACCUACUGAUCAAUUUAUGAUUCAAAUUCCCUCUCAGGCCCGCUGAACGGAUGUCCGUACACGAUUCUGUCUUUGGCCUUGAUCAGGAAGACAUGAUGGCACAAUCUGAUGCUGGAGAAGGGACAUCUGAUCUCCCAUCCACACCUCUCCUCUCUCCGGAGCAACCUGCAGGUCAAGCAACAACCAGUACCACAUCCAGCUCUCCAGCUUUCCCCAGUGAAGCACAGCCUGCAGCAGGACAUGAGUCAAGGGCCCCCAUAAAGAAGCCGGACAGGUAGGCUACUCAUUCAUAUCUAUCCAUCUUUAUUCUAUCACUUCCAUCCUCUAUCACAUCCAACUACUAUCACAUCCCUCCAUUCUCUAUCACAUCC